UACGUAGGGUGGCAAGCGUUAUCCGGAAUUAUUGGGCGUAAAGCGCGCGCAGGCGGUUUCUUAAGUCUGAUGGUGAAAGCCCACGGCUCAACCGUGGAGGGUCAUUGGAAACUGGGGAACUUGAGUGCAGAAGAGAAAAGCGGAAUUCCAGCGUGUAGCGGUGAAAUGCGUAGAGAUGUGGAGGAACACCAGUGGCGAAGGCGGCUUUUUGGUC
rnacentral:rRNA from 1 species